rnacentral:sRNA from 1 species
GUCCUUUGAGUUUUUGGAUGAUUUUCUUUGGAAUUUUUAUUCAAAAGACUGCAGCUAUAAACGAUAUUGAUCUAGAACUUUAGUUCUAUGUUUUGCCCAAGACUUUUAUGUGCACGGGAUCCUCUGAGACUAAAAGUGCACUUGUUCAUUAGAGUAGUAAACAAAUGGAGUGAUAAUGUGCAAGAGGAAGGCGCUAAAGGCAUCACAGACAUUGCAACAGCCAUCAGUCGGAUACACAUUGAAUGAACCUUCAUCAGCGAUUGUCCAAUGAAAAACAUAUUUCCUCCCAGCGGACCUUACAAAUUCGGUGGUGUAACCAUUCAUUGUGAUGCCGGUGGAUGCUGACCUCAACCGCACAGACGUGGUGUCGCCUGGUUGUGAGCUGAAGGGCCUGCGCACUUGGAAAGACAUUUGUUUGGUACGAAAUUCACUUCAACAUCAGGGCCCACUGCGAUCCUGACAUAGACGGAAUAAUCACAACUCAUCGGCAAGGAAAGCCACUAGCCGCGGACAUAGCAAGCCAGAGAUAAUCAAAUCUAAAUUGAAACGUUACUAAGUGCAGCAUACUUGCAGUUACUAUUGUAGAACAUUGUGUUACGACAAACAAGUGCAAUAUACAAUUAGUGCAAUCGUACUUUUGACUACAAACUCGAGUGAAGUGACUUUGUUGUAUUAAAAGUGAAAUUAUAUAGUGGAACAAUGGAGCGUGAAUCGAAUCCGAUGGAGACGUUGUGCCGCUCGGGGUGCGGAUUCUACGGAAACCCCUCAACAGACGGACUCUGCUCAGUGUGCUUUAAGG